GAGUCUUCAUCUGCAUGAGGACAGACCAAUCAGGUGGGCCUAGGCCUGGGGCUGUGAAGACAGCGCUACUGGACUGGACCACAGCAGAGCAGAGCUGUCUAGCUGGAGAGGGACCAGGACCCGGGAUUUCUCUGUAUAUACUAAGUCCCAAGGUGAGAUCUGGCCACGCCUGUCACUCCUGCCUCUGCCAGCACCGCCCUUCCCACUGCCUCCAGCCUCCAGGCCUGAGGUUGCUGUGUGUGAACUAGUAUCCACCAGAUGCCCACUUACUCCUCUCGUGUGGCUGUGUGUCUAGGAGCCUGCAGGCAGUGCCUCGUCUCUGUGGCCCUGGUCCACAUGAUGGUGUGGUCCUCCCAGAGCACAUCUCAUGAGGAGGCAAGAACCCAAGAAGACAUUAACCUCAACAGGAGGCGAGAAUGGGAGGAGGAUGUCAGCAGGCUACUUUCUUGGGAGGAAAUCCGAGUCGAUGCCUGAGGGCCUCUAUUUUUGUUGUGUGGUUGUUGCGUACUGCAGUAGGGGGAGUUGCCUAGUUUUUAAGAACUUGAGUGUUGUGGUCCGAGAUGUCUGGGUUCAAGCCCUGGCUCUGCCAUUUACUGCUGUGAGACCUUGGGCAAGCUCCUGACACUCUCUAAGCCUCAGUUUCCCCAUAUAUAGAUCGGGAUAAUAACUGUAUCUACAACGCAGAACUGUUGAGAGUCUUACAUGUAAUAUCUCUAAUAAACUAGGCAGAUGGUAAGCCA